UUAGAACAUCUCAGCUGAGAAGGGCUUUCCAGACACGUGCUCCCUCCUUCCCUUAAUACCCCUUUGCUGCUGGUAGGAAAACUGGAGAAAGAAGCCCCUUCCUCAAGAGUCAGGGGCAGGAUGCGAGAGGAACCCAGGCCUCCUGCCCCUCCUCUCCUCUCUGCUCCCAUAAUGGGGUAGAGCUCACCCAAUCCAGCUGGAGGAAAUCUCCAGACAAAUUCAAGAGGCCCCCACAGCUACACGGUCCUGGUCCCUCCAGUAAUGGAUGGAAAAUCAGCGAUUUCCUGACAGUUAGCAACCAAUUUUCCACCAAUUAGAAGAGAGAUGGUGGUCUCUGGAGGCAGCUGGAUGGCGGCGUUGCACGGAACUGGAAGGAAGAGAGAUGAUCCUCGACGCACCAGGGUCCUGAAACAGAACGGCUCCAUAAGGGCCACAGGCCUUCAGCAUCCACCACCGCCCGAGUGCGGGGGAGGACUCCGUGGCAGGAACAG